CGGCGUGGGUAAUGCGUGUGAGUGUGGAUUGUAAUGUCGAGGGUGGUAUUGGAAGCGGCAUGGGUAUUGCGUGUGUAAAUUGUGAUUUUGAAGUUUUGGCGCAGUGUAUGAAAUGUGUGUGUCAGAAUUGUGAAAAUAGAAAAUGUUAAAUGGAAAAAUGGUGCCGAUAUUGUGUAUUUCAUAAGAAUAAGCUACUUCAUCUAUUUCAGCGUAGCUUAGUUUGACAUUACGAACAAUAUUUCGAUAGAACGCAAGACAAUUCGAAGUAGAAAAGUAAUGCGAAAUGAAGCUUAACAGAAUGCUUAGUCAAUUCUUAAAUGUUAAAUCCAGUUCAUUUCUGAAGGCCUUUGUUAAUAAUUAAAACAAAAACAUUUUGAAUUUGAAUUCCACCAAUCCAGCAGUUAUGGAUUUUUUUAUGGGUAUAUGACUGAUUAAUAAUGCCGAGUUCCCACUCUGCCUUGGAAUAUUCUCCCGUCAGAAGAAAGAUUGAACAAUCAAUUAACAGAUAAAUCGAGUGAACUAAUGAAAUUUGCUUCGUGACAUUAUUUCCGAAAAUCUCUCAUAAUGAGAACUCUCAGCUCAAGACAACAAAUGCAAUUCAUAAAGAUUGUAGCCAAUAAAUGUAGUAAAUUUUUAAUGGUUGAGUAGUAUCGACACAUAGCAUUUUAAUGCUUACAUUCUGAGGAGCAGAAAUAAAUUAAAUUCAUAUUUCGUUAAAUUUGAUAGGAGUCCUAAAAAAAUUCGCUCUUUUCCCCAUAAAAUUUCAAAUACUAUUAAAAUAAAAAUAUUUAUUUCAUGGACGUUACAGAUUUUCUAGAAAAUUUCUUCGAAUAAUACUUAUUCUCAUUUGGAAGGGCUUAAGAGGACUUUUAACUGGAAUGAAGCUUAGGUUAAUUUCAAAAUUUCUAUACUUUCAAGUAAGUUUAUUUUAAUUGUAUUUUAAAUUUAAACGCGCAGUUCUUGCAAUAUAGAACAAUAAUUGCUCCUUUUCCAUAAUGUUCAAUUAUGAAACAUUUCGCUCUUUUAACCACCCUUCUUUCUCCGUCUUGGAAUUAAAAUCCCUAUCUAAUAUGAAAAGUAAUCUUGUGGGCCUCGGCUAUUUAAUAUUCUAUAUAUUCAUUAUUCUUCUAAUUGAUAUAACAAUUUCACAUCCCAUGAAAAAAAGUUUUGAUUGAGGCUUGCAUUGUCGAUCAACCGUAAACUGAUAAGCUAUUUCUGAUGUUGAAGGCAUGUCAUUUCUUCUGAAUAGAGUAGCUCGGCUUAUUUGAACUUCUCUCCUCCCAGAAUUUAGAAACAAUUUAGUUCGCUCCAUAUCGCAACAGAAAGGAAGUUUGAAUAACCUCAUAUAUCGAAUGCGGGGAGAAUUUCACUAACUUUCAAUGAAAAUAAGUAAUUGGCUGGAGCAUCGAUAGGAAAACUUGGGUAAUCGAGCUUUAGAGAUAAAAAAUAAACAUUUUUAAAUGUAGCUAUUCUAAUUUUAUUUAUACAAAUUUGGUAUUGAACCUCUUUGAACUUAAACAUGUAAAAAAAAUCAUUUUCAUAAAAUUUUUAAAAAUAUGAAAUGUUUUAAGACAAAGACGUAGUUUGAAAGCAACGUUGCUUGUUGUAAACAAAAAAAGCACAAUUUGAUCACUUUUCUGCAAUUCACCUUCAAAAAUUUAAAAACGGUAAUCUUUACUUUCUGAAUUGAAUUACAGUUAUGUUUUGAACCUUGAGCUUCAGCGCAGAUUAUCCUACAAAAGUAUCUUGUACUAGAAUAAUAUCUAUAUAAAAACGGUAAUCGCUAGCAAUGAGUUGCCGCUGAACUAUUUUUAACUAUUUGAAACUUUCUAAGAUGAAUUAAAAUAUACACGCUUGAUGGACGCUUAGAUAGAAUGAGGAAGAAACAUUAAUAGUCUCUGGAUAUUCCAUGCAUGUGGCUUCUAAACGACGUGAGUGCCAGAAUUAUAUGGGUUUUACAUGGUAAAGGCUAAUGACAGAGACAAGAACCAUGGUGAUUGUUUUCUUGUGCCUUUUUCUACAAAUGUGCCGAUUGAAUGAAUGUUAAGUUGGCAUCUUCAAUGUGUAAAAAUGAUUGGAACAUUAGAUCUUGAAUUUAAACUGUUUCACUAAACCACAUAGUUUCUGUUAGAUUCAUUACAUUUUUUAAUCAUUUGAGUGAAAUGGAAAGUCACAGAAAUCAUUAAAGAAGCAGAUUAGCCGUUUAAUGGGAACAAUUGCACAACGUCAUUCACCAUAAGAAGAGGGAGGGACUGCCUUUACAGCUUUUGGCAAAAAGCACGGAUAGUAGCUGUCCAGAUGGCCAAAAAAAAAUUUUGUUUCACACAAAGUAAUAUCGGCUGGAUAACUUUUGACGCUUAAUAGAUACUAAUUUGCGUGAUAAAGAUAUGAUGCCAAACACCGUAUUUUCUCAGUUCCAUACACAUGUCAUCUAUAUCAAUUUUGCUGGAUGCGAGGAAGUAUUCGCUUAAGAUACGUCUAUGUAUCCAAAGGCACAAUUGACAUGUUUUGACCGAAAUGACCAUGGCUCAACAGGAAAUAUCUGGAACCUACAAGUGGAUUUUGGAAUUUGGACCCUUUUCAAAUUAAAUUAUGGUCAGAGAUCCAACAGAUAUAAUUGAUAGUUUCAAAAGCUAGGAAUAUUAAACCAAGUUCAAAAUGCAUCGCCUUUAAUACUCGCAAAUUAUCAAGACUUAAAUUCAGUCUGCACAGUGGAUUGAAAGUGAAAGGUUUAUGAUCUCUCCAUAUACCAGACAAGUGGUUUCAAAGAAACGAGGGCAAAAUCAUGUGGAUUUAACAUGUGUAAUCCGUGAUAGAAGAAAAUAACCAUGAAGAUUUCUUCUUAUUAAACUAUGGAAUCAAUGUUAAUUUGGAGGAUUUUUUUUUUUGUGCAAUGACAGCAAGAACUUGUGAGAUAACAUCCGUUUGCUCCAGUUUACUUGUACUUAAAUACUUGGGUGAAAUAGAACGUCAUAUAAAGCAAACAAAGAUCAACUAAUCUGCAUUUGAUUCUACAGCAGCGCACUGUGCAAAGAAUACAUCUGAUGUCAUCUAUUUGAAUAACGAAACCCCAUCUGUGGAAUGAAAGGCCUUUUCAGUUCCAGCUACAAACUCUAUAUACAAAGGAUGUCUGGAUGCACAGGAAAGAACGGUACUGAAGUGAUUUCGAUAUUAACAGGAGUUGGCCGAAAUGAUAGCGGUAAAACGGAUGGCAUUCAGAAUCUUCAUCAAGCGAAUAUUAGAACUCGGUGCCUUUAAAAGGAAAUAUUGGAUGGCGAUCCAACAGAUGCAGCUUGUGUCUUUGGUCUGAUAUUAGAGCAAACCCAAAAUGAGUAUUUUGUGCCAAUAUAUUAUCAAUGAUA